CGAACGUUAAACAGCGCGGGUGCUUAAUAUAGAACAUUAAAAUUCAGAUCGAUACAAUAAGAGGGGUACACCGAGAUUGCAUAAUGCAUUACACACACCCCAAAACCUCACCACGACAUGGCAGUCGAAACAGCCUGAACGAAUGCAUGUAGCUUAGAUGCAUUCGAGUUUAAUUAAUAUUAAUUCAAUUUUUCAAGAGAAAUAAGACAUGCAAAAGACGAACUAUCUAAUGAAGAAUGUUUCACCUUGCAUGCAAACCAAAGUGUUUCAAAAACAACUGUGGGAGACCAACGACGAUACAUCUUACAAUAGGUUACAUGUACAUAAGACGGUUGCACGUCUAGACCAGAACAGACCGGCGCUGAUGGUUGAAAUAAAAAAUAUGGCAACAAACAUUCGCACUUCGGUAUUUUAAAAGUUAUUUAUGCUCAUCGAUGUAUUGAUUAAAGGCUCA